CACCUCAUCAACCGGAAGGGAUUCCUCCCGGUUGAUGAGGUUGUUACACCUCAUCGACUGGAAGGAAUCCCUUCUGGUCGAUGAGGUU
rnacentral:miRNA from 1 species